GCCUGGGUGGCUCAGUCGGUUGAGCAUCUGACUUCAGCUCAGGUCACGAUCUCGCGGUCCGUGAGUUCGAGCCCCGCGUCAGGCU
rnacentral:tRNA from 1 species